rnacentral:rRNA from 1 species
AUUAACGCUAGCGGCAGGCAUAAUACAUGCAAGUUGAACGGCAGCACAGGUAGCAAUACCGGGUGGCGAGUGGCGCACGGGUGCGUAACACGUAUGCAACCUACCCUAUACAGGCGAAUAACCUUUAGAAAUGAGGGCUAAUACGCCGUGGUAUUAUCUUGGGGCAUCUUAAGAUAAUUAAAGAUUCAUCGGUAUAGGAUGGGCAUGCGUCCCAUUAGUUAGUUGGUAGGGUAACGGCCUACCAAGGCUAUGAUGGGUAGGGG